UAUAUCCAUUUAUUUUGAAGCUUUAUAUUAGUGAUUUUGUCCCAGCCUUGGUGCUGCACCGGUGCAUUCUCUAAAACCACUAAAAUAUUGCUUUACCUGACUUAUAAGGUUAAU